GUCUUGUCAAUGAUGUCUCAAAACACAAAUGUCUGAACAAAUGACUUCCUGUGAUUCAACCUUAAGUGCUGAGACAAGGC